rnacentral:lncRNA from 1 species
CAGGCUUGCCCCUUGUUUAAUUAAUCCUAAUGGAUAAAUAAAUUUUAAGAUAAGCAUAGAGAAAGAUAUUUUGAGUGAAGUGUAGGGCAACUAUAUGAUGCACACAUAUUUCAUCUACAUGUGUAAUAAAGUCACAAAGGAGUGUUAGACAUUUAAUGAAUUUUGAUUUAUUCGAUACGCAUGAAAAGGAAUAGAACUCUUGCAAGUAAGUUCCACUAUUCCACACUUAGAAAAUUUCCCAACUUAAGUAGCAACAUCAUAUAUCUUCAAAUUCAUUUCUUCUAGUUAUAGAAUGUCUGUGUAAAGUGGAAAAAAAACGAAAGAAAAUCUAUCUUUUUUCUCAAACUGUGACGUUUCAUUACAUAAGAAAGGUUGAGUUUGGUUAUUUCUAUAAAUAAAAACAAUAUGUAUUGCCCCCUACCCCUCAAGGUAUGGGAGUUUAUUAGUCAUUUUCUUUAUGAUAACAACAAGAGAAUGUGGUCCACUUUACCGAAUCUAGCCACUCUGAAAAAUCAGAAGGUUGCUUCUUAGAAACUUUUCUUUAAAUAAUUAUUGUCUAGGAAAUCAAGAACUCCGUGGCUAGAAGAAUUAAAAUAUUAGUUAAAAUUGGAGAACCAUAUGUUGUAUUACACAAUAUAAUAAAGAAAUAGAAGAAAAACUUGAUGAUUGAAACAUUAUAGUGUAUCCAAUUACCAAUACCUGCGGUCCAGAAGUUUCAUUAAAAAUAUUCUUCGGCAUCCUCCGUAUGUGAAAAUAAUACUGAAAUUUUCUAUGGGUCAACUUCUAAAAAUAUCAUUUUAAUUUUCCUAUUUUGAUGGUAAUAAACAAAAAAAAGAUCACUUGUAUUUUUUUUCAUUAGGAGAUGAGUUGCAUUUUAAGCUAGUUUAUAGUAAAUUGCCUCCGCAAAUGAUGUACAAGUUCUUACAAAUUCCAAAAAAAUGGUUGCCAUAGAAAGCAAAGUGUACAAAUUACAAUAAAUUAAAAUUUGAAUGUGUGCUGGUUUUUAGCUUCAUUUUUUCUUUGGUGGGUGGGAAUUGUGGGGAGGUGUUCUAAGAUAAAAAUGGACCACUCAUGAGAUAGUGGUGGGGUGCUACCGUGCUAAGUACCUAUAAAUUUUUAAUUAGAGAUUUUAAGUUUGAAUUUAGAUAAUGAAAAUCAUUUAUAUAAAGUGUUUUAUUCUUGAAGUAGAACUUUUCGAUGUGAAUCUAAAUUAGUUAAAUUUCAAAAAAACAAAUAUUAAACAUAGGGUGAAAAAAAGCACAAAAUAGAUAUUAGAAGUGUUGUGAAGUAAAAUAGAAGAUUCUAAAACUAGACUUGCUUUGUUAUCUAGAUAUAUUUAGAAACAUGCCGACAAUUUCAAGUUUGUGGAGAAGUAGAGAGGAAAAGGUCAAUGCAUAUGCAGUAAUGUGAAGGAGUCUAUCAAGUCUAAAGACUUUAAAGACUAUGGGGUAUGGGCAAUGAACCUUUUUGCAGGUAUGGUUGGAAUUUAAUUAAGCAUGUUCUGGUUUGGAUUUGUUUUUUACUUUCAAGCAUAAAUAAGAUUGAUAUAUUUUAAUAUUAUAUUAUUAAAUUAAUUAUUUUUCCAUUAUUUUUUCCAUUACAUAGAAGUAUGAAGUUAAGGACCACCAACGGAUGUGGUGCAUCAGGUAUGCAAUAUUUGUUCCUUCCUUAAUUAGAGGUCUUGAGUUCAAGUCCUAAAUAUGUAAAAUCCUUUGAAGGAAAUGCUUCCCCAAAUGUGAUCCUAUGUGACGAGAAUCCGAAAUAGUCAAAUUCUAAUGCGAUACUCAGACACCAAAUAGGAAAAAAAAGAGAAUGAAGUUAAGAACGACCUAGGAUAUAAUCAUAAUUUCACAACUAACAUAAUGACAUUUUAGAUAUUUUCCUAUGACUUCGAUGUAUGUUGGGUCCAUUUAUCUCAUCAUUCUGGACAAUUUAUAACCUUUGAACAUAGUUAUCCACGUGGCUAUGAGGAGCCAAACAUUAUUUGGUAACACAUUUAGGAAUUGUUUGGUACAAAAAUUAAUAACAUAAAGAUUAGUAACGUUGAGGUUAGUAGUAUAAAAAUUACUUUUUAUCAACUGUUUGGUUCAUUGUUUCCUACCUCAUCUGGUGUUUGAAUUAAAAUUCUACAAAAAGCUUCUUUCCAAUUAUACUAUAGGAUUAUUAUGAGAUUUUCUAUUUCAUGUAAUUGGGUAGAUAAUUGACGGACAAUAUAUCUUUUAUGGCCUUCUAACUAGCUAGGAGAAGAACAAUUUUAUUGUCAUGUUUGCUAUUUGCUUACUUGAAUUAUUUGACGGUAAAUAAUUGCCGUCUUAAUAAAUUGAUCUCUCACAAAAUCGUCAAUUUUCUAUUUAAAAAAGAUAGACCAUCUACUUUUAAAAUUGAAAAGAUGGUAAACAAUAGUAAAAUCGAAUAAACCAUCUAUAUUUACACGUAAAAAUGGCAAGGUGUAAUUUUAGUAUAUAUGCAGCUUUAUAAAUUGUUCAAAAAACACGUGACUUUAAUUCAUUGCUUCAUCCUUCCAUGAGUAAUUUUCAAGGGUAACUUACAGAAGUUUUACUAGCUAGCUUAUGACCUAAUUACUUAGAUUCAGGUUAGUUUAUAAUAUUAUGAAUCUUAUCAAUUUUUGGAUUUCAGAUACAUGUAUUUGACGUAUUCAGAUGUGUUCAAAUGCAUAUGUCUUGGAUACAUGAGGUCAAAAUUAUGUGUCAUUUGUUCUAGAUACAUUGUAUCCAAGUAGAUUCACAUGUAGCUGACUUUUUCGCUUGCCUCUCUCCCUGCUUCUUGUAUCUAGAUAUAUGUUCUAGUUUGAUUCGCAUGUAUCUGGGGAUCUCGCUCGCCUCUCUCUAAUUUAGUGUAUCUGAUAGCAAAAAUACAUGUAUUUAGGUGUAUUUGAUUUGAAAUUUGAUAUGAAAUUAUUAACUAGUGAGAUAAUAUUUCCAAACAUGGAGAAAAUUAGUAAAUAUUGUAGAAAUAUUUGUCUAAUUACUAUUUUUUUCAUUUUUCAACUGUGUUAUGGGCUGUAAACAGAUCUUUCCACAUCUAGUUUUUAAAAGGACAAAUUGUAUGAUAUAGCAAACUAUUAAUUCAAAUUAAAUGCUAUAGCCAUAGUUUCUUUUAUGGGAAAAUUGUAUGAAAUAACAAACUAUUAAUUCAAAUUAAAUGCUAUAGUCAUAGUUUAUUUUAUUUGUAAUUCGCAACAAACAUCCCAUUUUUUUUGCAUCUGGUUCGGUAUACGAUUAACCAUUCGGUAUACAAAUGUAUAAAAUGCGUUUGUGUUUGUAUAAAGCGAGAGAAAAGUGUAUAUACAAAUACAUAUACAUAUAUUUUUGUCCUAUACACUUAUAAUUAUACAAAUACAAAUCUUAUUAUACAAAUUACAAUGUAUAAAUGAAUUUAUACAAAACUGAACAAUUUGUAUAAAAUUGGAUGUAUCUAGCGAAUUAUACAAAUCAAAAACUCCAUAGCAAACAUAAAAUUUGCUAUGAAGCACAAUUAUGCAAACUACAGCUAUAAUAUACAAAUAUAAUUUUUAUGUUUGGUGAAAGUUGCCCAAAAUAAAAUAAUAAAUCCCCAAAAUAAAUGCAAGACUCUGAAGGCAUGCACUAAAAACAUGUAGACCAUUGAAGAAGUGUCGAUGAACUUGAGCUUAAUCAUCUCAAGGGAAAUGAAUUUAUUGAGUUAGUUGGGGUGGAUAUGAGGGAAAAUUUUAAUUAAGAUAAAAACAUAUCCAUAUAGAUUGUAGACGCCACAUAAGAUAAUAAGGGUAAGAACAUGAGAGUUAAUCGUCUAAAGAAAAAUAUGUACUCAAAGUUAAAUGAUAAAGGAAAAAUAUACUUUUGGGUGGGGUGGGGGGGGUGUUAAAAUAACCUUUUUUGGAUAGUACAAAAGCAAAUAUGAUCCUUUUUCGUAUAAUUAUAGAGGCUAACACCCAGAUUACAAAACAAGAAUACAAAAGAUUAUGAAAAAAUUUCAAAAAUAUACAAUUACCUAACUUACAUCGCAAGAAUAUAGCCCACAACAUAAUUGGUAUACAAUAUCAUAUAUUCGAUAUACAAUAAAUAUAUAAAGCUUUCAUAUUUUAUUUUCUACAAAAUAUUUAAAAACUUGAUAUACCAUAUUAUACACUCAGUAUACAUAUGUGACCAUUUAUUUCACUCCGAACAACCCAAGCAAACAAAUUAGACUGUCGCUAGCACCAAUUGCUUCAAUAAUCACCCUCAUCUGAGAAACAACCAAUGACUUAGCUAUCACCAAAUUUCUAUAGUAAUAAAAUCACAUUUAAGAAUGCCAAAGAUGAACAAAGAAUAAAAUGUGCAAAGAAAAGGCGCGUGUGUGUGUUUUGAGUGUGUAGGGAAGAGAGAUGAAAAAGAGAUAUCAAUAUGUUUGUGGCUAAAUUUGGUAAAGUCUAAAUUUAAAAACUUGCACAUUUUGACAAUGUGUUUGGAUCAAUUAUACUUUCAAAUAAUUAUCUUAAAAAUUAAUAUUUAUUGAAAAUAAAAUGCUAUGUAAUUAAUAAAGAGCGAUUUAUCUCCUUUAAUAUAUUUAUUUGAUAUGAAUUCAAAUUAAUCGAACUACUAAUUUUCGAUGUUGAAUGCCUAAAAGAAAGACUAUAGCCUAAUGAAUGGGUAAUGAAACUUAUUCAGACCUAAGCUGCAAAACCCCUAGAAGUUCCAUUACUUUGGAUUGAUAGAUGAUCACAUAUUGAUUUCCAAAGGGACCACCUCCUACUUUUUGUUUGUCUACUUUGUUUUUAUUUUUAGAUCCCAAUUUUCAAUUGGAUAUUCUUAUCCCACUUCUUGUAAAGUCAUCCCACAUUUUCUCUUUGGGUUAACCAAGUCAUGCCAAGAGAUAUUUCUUACUCGUAAAUUUUACUUAUACAUUUGAAUUAUUAUUUAUUUUAAUUAAUUUGACUAAUUUGUUUUCAUCAUAACGUGCAUGCAGGCUUUGACAACAUAAAUUAUUCUAGCUCAUUUUACAUAACUAGUUUUUCGAUACGUG